GAUGAGAUAGUUUAUUAGUUGAAGAAUAUUAGGUUUGCGUCUUAAAGGUGGAGUUAUUUUCUCUCGUUG
rnacentral:tRNA from 1 species